GCAGAAUGGGCCAAGAGAGAAAACACCCACUGUUUCACAAUAUAAUGCUACUUUCAAAUACAUAAAGAACAAGAAAGAGCAGGAGGAAAAGAAGAGGAGAGGGGAUGAAAUGUCCUGUCUAGUCCUUGGUCAGAUAGCAUAUGAAGUGUGCAGCUGGAUGUCUCUGCUGGAUUCUGAUGGAUAUCACAAAAUCUGAAAUAAGGUAAAUAGCAAUUCUUACAUUGAGAACUUGAGCACUACUUACCAUUUUCAUUGAAAUACAGAGGAUUAAGAUUUGGGUUUUAAAAAUUAUUUCUGUUUUUAUUAUAUAUCUACUGUUAUAAUACUGGGAGCUGUUGCAUCUACUUUAGAUCUUAGGCUGAACUU
rnacentral:lncRNA from 11 species